UAUUUUACCCAUAGGAGAGAUAUUUCCUCCUAAGUUUAGUUUUACCCAUAGGAGAGGCAUUUCCUCCUAAGUUAGUAUUGAAGUUGGGAGCCCGCCCAUAUAACAGAGGCAUACAUUUCUGUCCUUUCAUUUCAUGUUCUAGGUCGCCCACCAGUAUAAUGUGGGAAUACAUUGUUCUAGGUCGCCCACCAGUAAAAUGCGGGAAUACUUUCUGUUCUAGGUCACCCGCCAGUAAAAUGCG
rnacentral:lncRNA from 1 species